rnacentral:rRNA from 1 species
GACGAACGCUGGCGGCGUGCCUAAUACAUGUAAGUAGAACGCACAGUUUAUACCGUAGCUUGCUACACCAUAGACUGUGAGUUGCGAACGGGUGAGUAACGCGUAGGUAACCUGCCUGGUAGCGGGGGAUAACUAUUGGAAACGAUAGCUAAUACCGCAUAAUAUUAAUUAUUGCAUGAUAAUUAAUUGAAAGGUGCAAUUGCACCACUACCAGAUGGACCUGCGUUGUAUUAGCUAGUAGGUGAGGUAACGGCUCACCUAGGCGACGAUACAUAGCCGACCUGAGAGGGUGAUCGGCCACACUGGGACUGAGACACGGCCCAGACUCCUACGGGAGGCAGCAGUAGGGAAUCUUCGGCAAUGGACGAAAGUCUGACCGAGCAACGCCGCGUGAGUGAAGAAGGUUUUCGGAUCGUAAAGCUCUGUUGUAAGAGAAGAACGGGCGUGAGAGUGGAAAGUUCACACUGUGACGGUAUCUUACCAGAAAGGGACGGCUAACUACGUG